GACGAACGCUGGCGGCGUGCCUAAUACAUGCAAGUCGAGCGAACGGACGAGAAGCUUGCUUCUCUGAUGUUAGCGGCGGACAGGUGAGUAACACGUGGAUAACCUACCUAUAAGACUGGGAUAACUUCGGGAAACCGGAGCUAAUACCGGAUAAUAUUUUGAACCGCAUGGUUCAAAAGUGAAAGACGGUCUUGCUGUCACUUAUAGAUGGAUCCGCGCUGCAUUAGCUAGUUGGUAAGGUAACGGCUUACCAAGGCAACGAUGCAUAGCCGACCUGAGAGGGUGAUCGGCCACACUGGAACUGAGACACGGUCCAGACUCCUACGGGAGGCAGCAGUAGGGAAUCUUCCGCAAUGGGCGAAAGCCUGACGGAGCAACGCCGCGUGAGUGAUGAAGGUCUUCGGAUCGUAAAACUCUGUUAUUAGGGAAGAACAUAUGUGUAAGUAACUGUGCACAUCUUGACGGUACCUAAUCAGAAAGCCACGGCUAACUACGUG
rnacentral:rRNA from 1 species